rnacentral:rRNA from 1 species
UCUGGUGGCCAUAGCGAGGUGGUCCCACGCCUUCCCAUCCCGAACAGGACCGUGAAACGCCUUAGCGCCGAUGAUAGUGUGGCAUUCGCCAUGU